GAAAAAACAUAUAAAGAAGAGGCUAUUUCAAAAAUACAAUAUUGUAUUUUUGAAAUAGCCUCUUCUUUAUAUGU